AGCAGCCGCGGUAAUUCCAGCUCCAAUAGCGUAUAUUAAAGUUGUUGCAGUUAAAAAGCUCGUAGUUGAAUUUCGGGAUCAAGUCGUCGGUCGUGCUCAGGUACGUACUGGCGUCAUUGAUUUCUCCCUUCUGACGAACCAUGAUGUCAUUAAUUUGGUGUUAUGGGAAAUCAGGACUGUUACCUUGAAAAAUUAGAGUGUUUAAAGCAGGCUCACGCUUGAAUACAUUAGCAUGGAAUAAUGAAAUAGGACGUUCGAUCCUAUUUUGUUGGUUUUAGGAUCAACGUAAUGAUUAAUAGGGAUAGUUGGGGGCAUUAGUAUUCAAUUGUCAGAGGUGAAAUUCUUGGAUUUAUUGAAGACUAACUACUGCGAAAGCAUUUGCCAAGGAUGUUUUCAUUAAUCAAGAACGAAAGUUAGGGGAUCGAAGACGAUCAGAUACCGUCGUAGUCUUAACCAUAAACUAUGCCGACUAGGGAUCGGAUGAUGUUAAUUUUUUAAUGACUCAUUCGGCGCCUUACGG
rnacentral:rRNA from 1 species